ensembl:rRNA 5S_rRNA 5S ribosomal RNA
UUAUAAAAGUAUGUAAUCCUGAACGCGCCCGAUCUCGUCUGAUCUCGGAAGCUUAGCAGGGUCGGGCCUGUUUAGUACUUGGAUGGGAGACAGCCUGGGAAUACUGGGUGCUGUAGG